UCUCUGGUAGUAUAUCGGUUAGUACACGCGCCUGUCAUAUGUGUAUAUGCACUUGGCACAUGAGCGCGCGAAAGCGGGGUUCGACUCCCCGCCAGAGAG